GAAUUUGCGCAGUGGCAGUAUCAUAGCCAAUGAGGUCAAACCUAGGCGUGAUUAUUGCUAAUUGU
rnacentral:snRNA from 1 species